rnacentral:rRNA from 1 species
UACGGAGGGUGCAAGCGUUGUCCGGAUUUAUUGGGUUUAAAGGGUGCGUAGGUGGGUUGGUAAGUCAGUGGUGAAAUCUCCGUGCUUAACAUGGAAACUGCCAUUGAUACUACUGGUCUUGAAUUUUUCCGGAGGUAAGCGGAAUAUGUCAUGUAGCGGUGAAAUGCUUAGAUAUGACAUAGAACACCAAUUGCGAAGGCAGCUUACUACAGGGACAUUGACACUGAGGCACGAAAGCGUGGGGGAUCAAACAGG